AGCGGCAGGCUUAACACAUAGCAAGUCGAGGGGCGAGCACGGGUAGCAAUACCUGGUGGCGACCGGCGCAAGGGUGCGUAACGCGUGAGCAACAUGCCCUAUACAGGGGGAUAAUCCAGGGAAACUUGGUCUAAUAUCCCAUAGUAUUUAGAGGAGGCAUCUUCUAUAAAUUAAAGCUUCGGUGGUAUAGGAUUGGCUCGCGUGACAUUAGCUAGAUGGUGAGGUAACGGCUCACCAUGGCAAUGAUGUCUAGGGGUUCUGAGAGGAAGGCCCCCCACACUGGGACUGAGACACGGCCCAGACUCCUACGGGAGGCAGCAGUGAGGAAUAUUGGACAAUGGAUGGAAAUCUGAUCCAGCCAUGCCGCGUGCAGGAAGACAGCCCUAUGGGUUGUAAACUGCUUUUAUAUGGGAGCAAUAAGGUCUACGUGUAGACUGAUGAGAGUACCAUAUGAAUAAGCAUCGGCUAACUCCGUG
rnacentral:rRNA from 1 species